rnacentral:tRNA from 1 species
GCCGGUGUGAUGGAAUUGGCAGACGUACGGGACUCAAAAUCCCGCGGUGGCAACACCGUACCGGUUCGACCCCGGUCACCGGCACCA